UUAACGUUUAUGAAAAAACAGUAUCAGACUGACUGCAAUAAGCAGGGUAUAUGUAUGCCUUCCCUGGGUGACCCCAGGGAAGCAACAAGUAAUAGGUACACAGAAGAGUUAAGGUAAUACCGGAAGAGCCUGCGGGCCAAUGGCCCGGGCCCUCGGUUUAAAUACUAAUGAUCCUUCCGCAGGUUCACCUACGGAAA
rnacentral:misc_RNA from 1 species